AGCAUUAUGUGUAGUAGCCUCCAAACUGGAAACCACUCAGAUGCACGUCAGCUGAAUGGACACAUCGGUUGUGGUUUAUUCACACCACACAAUACACAGCAAAGAGCGUGGACUACAAUGAUACACUUCAAAAUCAAUGAUCUCACAACGAUGUGACUAUCCAGGUUUCUAUAGGCUCGGAACCGCUCCGUGGCUGGGAAGAUGCGGCUCUGUCGCCACCUGGUGGCUAUUAGUGUGAUUACAGCGGUAGACAAAUUCCACCGGUUGUCUCAUCCUUGCUGAACGAAGCUGAGAAAUAGAAGGUCUUUGAAGGUCCCUGAAUCCAAAUCUUCUAACUGUCAAGCCCUAAUUCACCCAGAGGUUUUCUGGCCGUCACUUGAACACCUCCCCUGAUGGAGAGUUCACUACUGAAUCAGCCAGCCACAUCCAUUCUUGGACAUCUCUCACUGUUGGGAUUCUGGUUGCUUCAACUCUAUGAGGUCCUCAGUCUCCACCUCUGAAAAAUGGGGAUGAUCCUGGCUCCCAGGGCUGUGGUGGAGAUCAGGUGAGAUGGCAUGUGGCGCUCUUGGUCUGGUCUUGGUUUGGAUUCCUUGGUUUGGAAACAGGGCCUGAGAUGGGAUGCAAGUGCAAGUAGUUUAUUUGGGAGGUGAUCCCAGGGAACAUCACUAGGAGAGAGAAGGUAUGGGACAGGGAAGGGAAGAAAGCCAGUAAAGGGUAUAUUAUUAGAUUGAUGACAAUGGUGGGCAACUGGAACUUAAUUCCUCUGGGGACUCUGGGAGUCAGUGCAGAGCCCACCUCAGAUGCAGUGAAAAUGGCCGUCUCCCAAUGGAGGGGUGAGGAAGCUGGGGCAUUUGUACAUCAACCAGGGGGCUGUGUUGGUUGAGCGCUGAUUCCAGGAGCAUUCACUCUCUGGCACUUCCUGCUCAUCUGGGGUGUGGAGUUGUCUCCCACAGUCAGAAAUCAAGCCCUGGGGCAGAGAGGUGCUGGUGUUCCAGCAAGCUGACUUGGACUGGUGGAGGUGAGUGUUGAGACCACGGGAGCAGCUCAGCAUCUGCCACAGGCAUGUCGGCUCGUCUCCCCUUGCAAUUCUGUUUUGAUGGUAUCUUCCCUGAUCAGAGUGUAUGGAUGCCUGGCUUCUGGUGAAUGGGCCUGGACCACUCCAGCAGGUGCCCCCAUCAUCUACCCUGCCUUCACCAGCUCCUGCUUGACAUGCCAGCCCCUGUGGUUGUCUGUUGCUCCGCCCUUCCCACAAAGGUCCAACAAGAAAGCUGAGAGAAAAUAAGGACCCUUCCUCAGAUUGCAGAUUAGCACAGGAAUGCCUGUUUACCACGUGAAAGACCUUUUGAUGCCUGCUAUAGAAAAACACCCCUAAGGGGUUGGGGACCAGACUGACUUCAGCUCUAAGAUCAGCCUGGCAGAUGUCUAGUGGCCCCGUGGCCCACUCCUGGCAGGGACUGUGGGCUGUUUCAAGUGUGAAUGUCAAUGUUUCAAAACUUUGGCCACCAACAUUUUGGGUGUGUCUUGGAGCUGUGGAGGGCCAUCUCAAAGAGUUAUCCAACUUUACGCCUUUCCAGCAGGGUGCCAAGUCAUCUCACGCCUCUGAGCCUUGUUCCUCAGCUGUAAAAUGGACGUAAUAAUAGGAUGAUCCCCACAGAGCGGAGCUGAGAGGUAAAUGAGAUGGUGAGUCUUCAGUGCCUGGCAUGGUGUAGACCAGCGGUUGGCAAACUGUUUCUGCAAAGGGCCAGGCAGUCAAUACUUUGACUUUGUGGGCCAGAUGGUCUCUGUUGCACCUACUCAAAUCUGGCCUCGUAAUGCUGAAGCCCCUCAGGCUAUAGGUAAAUGUUAUAAAAACAGGUGCUGACCCCUGGGGUAGAGAAUGGGCAGGAUGGGGAGGAUUUUAUUUCUCCCUCUUAGAAGGAAGAAAUGUUUCUUACCCAUCCUUGUGUCCUCCUUUGGGCUCAGCAUGGGGCCUGGCAUGUAGUAGGUGGUCAGGAAAUGUUUACUAAAGGAAGAAAAACAGCAUGAGAUAGGGAAGAGAAUGGCCUUUGGAGUCAAACAGACCUGGGUCCAGAUUGACUUAUUCUCCACGUAACCUGUGUUAAAGAAAAAAUUGUUCGUAACGCUUGUUAAAUAAUGAUAAGGCAGACUAUUCAGGGGACCUAUCAAGAUACGUACAGGACGACUGCAAUGGGGUUUUGCAGGAGGGGAGAAGAUUGAGCGCAACUCCACAUACAACAAGGAAAAGUGGUAAUUUAUAGCUAAAGAGCGGCAAGUGGGUGG
rnacentral:lncRNA from 1 species